rnacentral:misc_RNA from 1 species
UAUGUAUCUCUCAGAUAAAGAGGUGAAAUUCUUGCGUCUUCCAGCAGUUCCUUUGUUAAUUAAUUGCACAGUAGCAUAUGGGAUUUUUUUAAUUGUACAGUAUCAUUAUAAUUAUUUAGAACUUGAAUGUUUUAUCGAUUUAAUUGCAGUCUGUAUUAUAGUUUUGUUAAUAUUAGUGAUGAUCAUGACUUUAUUAUUGUUUUUGGCUUUUCAUAUUCAUUUCCCUUUUUUAUGUGAGCAUUGAGCAAUCUUUUUCUUACUCUUAUUUGACUUUUAAUGAGAAAAAAAAAACAAGUGAAGGUAUUACUGUUUUCUGAUUUGCUUUCUUAAGACCUUUUCUCUAUUAGACCAUAACACUCCCUCCCUUCUCUCUUCUCCCACCCAACAAAACACAAAAAAAAAGGGGAAAAAUAGAGGGAGAGAGAAAAAUAUUGUGGUAAUGGGGCAAAAAGUACAUUGUCAUUAACUUAUGUAUUAAAAUAGCACUCUCUGUGGGGAUUUGUAGAUGGUUACCAACGGUAAGAAUAUGAAUGCGCAAGUGAAGAGUAAUGGAAAUGGGCCUAUUGCUUUCAAUCUCUCAACCAAUUGCUUAGGCUAAUAAUAGCUAUUGUUUAUGCACGAUAUGCUUACCUGUUCAUAGAUUUAAUUUAAAGAUUCCAAUUCUCACAUUUGGUAUCGUAAUUGGUGUCUAUCUUGCUGCACUUUUUUGUUCCCUAAUGUCUUCAGACUCUUGUAUUUGCCCCUGUGCUGGUUCUGUUCACAUGUAAUUUUAAUCAAAUUUAUGGCUUGGUUAAGAUAUUUCUUGUGCAUGGGUAGAUGAUUUAAAAAUAGCUCAUGAAUUCUAGUCAUCUUUGUUCUUUGACAGUUGCAGGCUUUGUCAUUAUAAGUUUA